rnacentral:rRNA from 1 species
CCUACGGGUGGCAGCAGUGAGGAAUAUUGGUCAAUGGGCUUACGCCUGAACCAGCCAAGUCGCGUGAGGGAAGACUGCCCUAUGGGUUGUAAACCUCUUUUGUCAGGGAGCAAUUUGCGCUAUGUGUAGCGUUAUCUAUAGUCCCUGAAGAUAAAGCAUCGGCUACCUCCGUGCCAGCAGCCGCGGUAAUACGGAGGAUGCGAGCGUUCUCCGGAUUUAUGGGGUUUAAGGGGUGCGUAGGCGGCAUGCCAAGUCAGCGGUAAAAUCGCGGGGCCCAACCUCGCUCCGCCGUUGAAACUGGCGUUCUUGAGUGGGGGAGAGGUAGGCGGAAUGCGUGGUGUAGCGGUGAAAUGCAUAGAUAUCACGCAGAACUCCGAUUGCGAAGGCAGCAUACCGGAGCCCAACUGACGCUGAAGCACGAAAGCGUGGGUAUCGAACAGGAUUAGAUACCCCGGUAGUC